rnacentral:misc_RNA from 1 species
AACGGUCUAUACCUGCGGUACCUGCGGAGGGAUCAUUAUGGAGCCCGUGCCCACCCUGGGCAGAUCUCCCACCCCUGCUAUCGCUGCCACGUUGCUUUGGCGGGCCGUCGGGCCCCGCCCGCCAGAGGCUCCGCAGACUCAGAUGUCGGUGUCGUCCGAGUACCAUAUAAUCGUUAAAACUUUCAACAAUGGAUCUCU